rnacentral:rRNA from 1 species
GUGGGGAAUAUUCCGCAAUGGACGAAAGUCUGACGGAGCAACGCCGCGUGAGUGAUGAAGGUUUUCGGACUGUAAAGCUCUGUUGUUUAGGACGAAAGUGCCUGUUGCGAACAGUUACAGGUAUUGACGGUACUAAACGAGGAAGCCACGGCUAACUACGUGCCAGCAGCCGCGGUAAUACGUAGGUGGCAAGCGUUGUCCGGAAUUAUUGGGCGUAAAGAGCAUGUAGUCGGAGAUUUAAGUCUGUUGUGAAAAUGCGGGGCUCAACCCCGUAUUGCGAUGGAAACUGAAUUUCUUGAGUGCAGGAGAGGAAAGGGGAAUUCCCAGUGUAGCGGUGAAAUGCGUAGAUAUUGGGAGGAACACCAGUGGCGAAGGCGCCUUUCUGGACUGUGUCUGACGCUGAGAUGCGAAAGCCAGGGUAGCGAACGGGAUUAGAUACCCGAGUAGUCC